GAGUUUGAUUAUGGCUCAGGAUGAACGCUAGCGAUAGGCUUAACACAUGCAAGUCGAGGGGCAGCAUAAUUUUAGCUUGCUAAGAUUGAUGGCGACCGGCGCACGGGUGCGUAACGCGUAUGCAACCUGCCUGUAAUUAGGGGAUAGCUCGGUGAAAGUCGAAUUAAUACCCUAUAUUCUAUAUUUUUCGCAUGAUUGAUAUAGGAAAGAUUUAUUGAUUACAGAUGGGCAUGCGUUCCAUUAGCUUGUUGGUAAGGUAACGGCUUACCAAGGCAACGAUGGAUAGGGGGACUGAGAGGUUGACCCCCCACACUGGUANUGAGAUCACGGACCAGACUCCUAUCGGGAGGCAGCAGUGAGGAAUAUUGGUCAAUGGGCGCAAGGCCUGAACCAGCCAAGUCGCGUGAAGGACGAGCGGUC
rnacentral:rRNA from 1 species